GGAGCAGGGACUCUUUCUGCCCAGCACAAGUGGGAUACCUCUUAGCCGGGAUAGAUCAACACUCUGUCUUGUUUACGACUCUCUUUUGGAAACCUGCCUGCUGACGAUGUUUUGAUGCACCUGGUGUGAGCUGCUCUGAAUCCAGGCUCGUUUCAGCAUGAGCUGGAAUUAUGUUACUGGGGGGAAAACACAACUCCAUGGAAGUGCAGG